UACAGAGGUCCCAAGCGUUGUUCGGAUUCAUUGGGCGUAAAGGGCGCGUAGGCGGCCAGCACAAGUCAGUUGUGAAAUCUCCGAGCUUAACUCGGAAAGGUCAACUGAUACUGUGCGGCUAGAGUGCGGAAGGGGCAACUGGAAUUCUCGGUGUAGCGGUGAAAUGCGUAGAUAUCAAGAGGAACACCUGCGGCGAAGGCGGGUUGCUGGGCCGACACUGACGCUGAGGCGCGAAAGCUAGGGGAGCGAACGGG
rnacentral:rRNA from 1 species